rnacentral:rRNA from 1 species
AGUAAACGCUGGCGGUAGGCCUAACACAUGCCAGUCGAACGGCAGCACAGUAAGAGCUUGCUCUUACGGGUGGCGAGUGGCGGACGGGUGAGGAAUACAUCGGAAUCUACUUUUUCGUGGGGGAUAACGUAGGGAAACUUACGCUAAUACCGCAUACGACCUACGGGUGAAAGCAGGGGAUCUUCGGACCUUGCGCGAUUGAAUGAGCCGAUGUCGGAUUAGCUAGUUGGCGGGGUAAAGGCCCACCAAGGCGACGAUCCGUAGCUGGUCUGAGAGGAUGAUCAGCCACACUGGAACUGAGACACGGUCCAGACUCCUACGGGAGGCAGCAGUGGGGAAUAUUGGACAAUGGGCGCAAGCCUGAUCCAGCCAUACCGCGUGGGUGAAGAAGGCCUUCGGGUUGUAAAGCCCUUUUGUUGGGAAAGAAAAGCAGCAGGUUAAUACCCCGCUGUUCUGACGGUACCCAAAGAAUAAGCACCGGCUAACUUCGUG